rnacentral:lncRNA from 1 species
UUCCAACUUGAUUCAACACAUAAUCCAUUCUACCACUAUUAAUUCAACAAUACUUCUCUCAAUUACAAUUCUUCAUAAGCAAAUAAUAAAAGCAAAGAAAACAAAGAGGCAGCACCAAGCUUACUCAGGCUUAAGACUUUCACAGUCUAGCUUUGAUCUUUCUUUCCUCAACGUAUUUAUCCUACCAAAAAGGUGAUCCAUCGACUAGCAGAUUCCAAAGGUUAUGAUCUUUUGAAUUCUUAACCAUUUAUUCUACUAAAAACCUAAUGUUAUCAACUAAAUGGCUAACCAUCAGUCUUAUUCUUAAGGUUAUCAUUAACCAACCAGUAACUUACCACAAAAUUUAUUUAUCUAUUCUACAUAGCGCCACUCCUAAUUGUGCAGCGUCCUCGCAAACAUUAUUUUGCCUCAACUUUUAAAGACGUAGCAACAUAUAUUUCCAAAGGUGUUGUCACUAAAACUGGCAUAUUGGUCCACACUAAAUUAUUGGCCUC